GAUGAACGCUGGCGGCGUGCCUAAUACAUGCAAGUAGAACGCUGAAGGAAGGAGCUUGCUCUUUCCGGAUGAGUUGCGAACGGGUGAGUAACGCGUAGGUAACCUGCCUGGUAGCAGGGGAUAACUAUUGGAAACGAUAGCUAAUACCGCAUAACAGUAGAUGUUGCAUGAUAUCUACUUAAAAGGUGCAAUUGCACCACUACCAGAUGGACCUGCGCUGUAUUAGCUAGUUGGUGAGGUAACGGCUCACCAAGGCGACGAUACAUAGCCGACCUGAGAGGGUGAUCGGCCACACUGGGACUGAGACACGGCCCAGACUCCUACGGGAGGCAGCAGUAGGGAAUCUUCGGCAAUGGACGGAAGUCUGACCGAGCAACGCCGCGUGAGUGAAGAAGGUUUUCGGAUCGUAAAGCUCUGUUGUAAGAGAAGAACGAGUGUGAGAGUGGAAAGUUCACACUGUGACGGUAUCUUACCAGAAAGAGACGGCUAACUACGUG
rnacentral:rRNA from 1 species